rnacentral:tRNA from 1 species
GCGGCGAUAGCUCAGUUGGGAGAGCGUCAGACUGAAGAUCUGAAGGUCACGUGUUCGAUCCACUUCACUGCA